UUCUCAGGAUAAGUAUGUCUCAUUCAAUAUUUGGGUGAUACUUAUAUCAAAA
rnacentral:pre_miRNA from 1 species